AAGAAGUUAGUUUAAAUAAAACAAAUGAUUUCGACUCAUUAAUUCCUAAUUAUCCAUCCUAGGACUUCUUUA
rnacentral:tRNA from 1 species